rnacentral:rRNA from 1 species
UUAGACGAAGUAAAAGUCGUAACAAGGUUUCCGUAGGUGAACCUGCGGAAGGAUCAUUACAGUAGUCACCCAGGUUGCCGCAAGGCCUCCUGGGUAACCUACCACCCUUUGUUUAUUACACUUUGUUGCUUUGGCAAGCCUGCCCUCGGGCUGCUGGCUCCGGCCGGCGAGCGCUUGCCAGAGGACCUAAACUCUGUUUGUCUAUACUGUCUGAGUACUAUAUAAUAGUUAAAACUUUCAACAACGGAUCUCUUGGUUCUGGCAUCGAUGAAGAACGCAGCGAAAUGCGAUAAGUAAUGUGAAUUGCAGAAUUCAGUGAAUCAUCGAAUCUUUGAACGCACAUUGCGCCCCCUGGUAUUCCGGGGGGCAUGCCUGUCCGAGCGUCAUUACAACCCUCAAGCUCAGCUUGGUAUUGGGCCCCGCCGACCCGGCGGGCCCUAAAGUCAGUGGCGGUGCCGUCCGGCUCCGAGCGUAGUAAUUCUUCUCGCUCUGGAGGUCCGGUCGUGUGCUCGCCAGCAACCCCCAAUUUUUUUCAGGUUGACCUCGGAUCAGGUAGGGAUACCCGCUGAACUUAAGCAUA